rnacentral:rRNA from 1 species
AACGAACGCUGGCGGCAGGCCUAACACAUGCAAGUCGAGCGAGGACUUCGGUUCUAGCGGCGGACGGGUGAGUAACGCGUGGGAAUGUGCCCUUCUCUACGGAAUAGCCCUGGGAAACUGGGAGUAAUACCGUAUACGCCCUAUUGGGGAAAGAUUUAUCGGAGAAGGAUCAGCCCGCGUUGGAUUAGGUAGUUGGUAGGGUAAUGGCCUACCAAGCCGACGAUCCAUAGCUGGUUUGAGAGGAUGAUCAGCCACACUGGGACUGAGACACGGCCCAGACUCCUACGGGAGGCAGCAGUGGGGGAUCUUAGACAAUGGGGGCAAUCCUGAUCUAGCCAUGCCGCGUGAGUGAUGAAGGCCUUAGGGUUGUAAAGCUCUUUUAGCUGGGAAGAUAAUGACGGUACCAGCAGAAGAAGCCCCGGCUAACUCCGUG